GUAGAAUCUAGCACACGUGAUGAGUUGUCACUCUUGAGAUUAGGCUAUCAAAACACUGUGACUUCUGUUUUGUUCUCUCUCUCUUUUUUUUUCCCUCUCUUUCAGUGCCUUUGCUCUGGGGAACCUGGCUGCCAUGCUGUGAGCUGCCUGAUGAAGAAGCCCCCAUGGCAGAGAAGUGAGGUCUCCAGACAAUACCCAGUAGACCUGAGGCUGCCAAUAGUCACAUGAAUGAGCUUGGAGCCGUGUGAACGCUUUGCAUACCGUGCAGUUCAACUUCACCCAGCAUAGACGUGAAGUCAGCCUGCAGGGUGAGAGCAGGCUGCAGCUUCCCGUGUUCUUGCUGGGUGUGGACCGCCUGCCAGAGAGGUUUCAAAGCUCCCGUUCCACAAACUGGGAUCUCAAGAGUUCAACUCAGAUGCUGAGUCUCAUUUUCAGAGGUGUUACAUCUGCAUGAUUUUACAGCUGGGAAUUUCAGUAGCUCAGGAUGGCCAUCAUCUGCAAGCACUUUGCUGGGAGCCCUCCCUGAUUCCAGGACAGCCAAUUCACUGUGAUGGGAACAAGUCAGAGGGCUCAGAGCUAAAACAAGCAGGACUUUUAGAUCUAAUGAAGCCCCUGUCAGGCCUGAUUUGGAUCUAGUUAAUGAGGGUCUGAUCGGAUCUGCCACCUUCAUAACAUUGUGAGGUCCUUUGGACCAGUAAAUGAUUUCCCUUGUUUUUCUGCACAGAGACACGGGUGAGGUUGAGUUGUCAAUGGAAGCAUUUGUGUGUCACAAGUCAUCAGGAGUCAUGUGUUUGGUGUAGGACUUGCUAGGUCAUCUUAGAUAGGCUGUUUAAUCUUGUUGUGUUUUUGUUUCUCCAUCUGCAAAAGCAUGAUAACACACACUAGGCUUCUA